CAUGCAGGUAUGGGUUGGUUGGUUUGACAGGAUCUGAUGAGUCAGAGAGCUGUCCAGGCUCCAGCUGCCUGUUUUGGCAUGGUUUCUAUGCUUGGAUGCCUUUCCUAAUGCCAACCACUUAAUAGAGUGUGCUGGUU